rnacentral:rRNA from 1 species
GACGAACGCUGGCGGCGUGCUUAACACAUGCAAGUCGAACGGAAAGGCCCUGCUUUUGUGGGGUGCUCGAGUGGCGAACGGGUGAGUAACACGUGAGUAACCUGCCCUUGACUUUGGGAUAACUUCAGGAAACUGGGGCUAAUACCGGAUAGGAGCUCCUGCUGCAUGGUGGGGGUUGGAAAGUUUCGGCGGUUGGGGAUGGACUCGCGGCUUAUCAGCUUGUUGGCGGGGUAGUGGCUUACCAAGGCUUUGGCGGGUAGCCGGCCUGAGAGGGUGACCGGCCACAUUGGGACUGAGAUACGGCCCAGACUCCUACGGGAGGCGGCAGUGGGGAAUAUUGCACAAUGGGCGGAAGCCUGAUGCAGCAACGCCGCGUGCGGGAUGACGGCCUUCGGGUUGUAAACCGCUUUUGCCUGUGACGAAGCGUGAGUGACGGUAAUGGGUAAAGAAGCACCGGCUAACUACGUGCCAGCAGCCGCGGUGAUACGUAGGGUGCGAGCGUUGUCCGGAUUUAUUGGGCGUAAAGGGCUCGUAGGUGGUUGAUCGCGUCGGAAGUGUAAUCUUGGGGCUUAACCCUGAGCGUGCUUUCGAUACGGGUUGACUUGAGGAAGGUAGGGGAGAAUGGAAUUCCUGGUGGAGCGGUGGAAUGCGCAGAUAUCAGGAGGAACACCAGUGGCGAAGGCGGUUCUCUGGGCCUUUCCUGACGCUGAGGAGCGAAAGCGUGGGGAGCGAACAGGCUUAGAUACCCUGGUAGUCCACGCUGUAAACGGUGGGUACUAGGUGUGGGGGUCCAUUCCACGGGUUCCGUGCCGUAGCUAACGCUUUAAGUACCCCGCCUGGGGAGUACGGCCGCAAGGCUAAAACUCAAAGGAAUUGACGGGGCCCCGCACAAGCGGCGGAGCAUGCGGAUUAAUUCGAUGCAACGCGUAGAACCUUACCUGGGUUUGACAUGGAUCGGGAGUGCUCAGAGAUGGGUGUGCCUCUUUUGGGGUCGGUUCACAGGUGGUGCAUGGCUGUCGUCAGCUCGUGUCGUGAGAUGUUGGGUUAAGUCCCGCAACGAGCGCAACCCUUGUUCACUGUUGCCAGCACGUUAUGGUGGGGACUCAGUGGAGACCGCCGGGGUCAACUCGGAGGAAGGUGGGGAUGACGUCAAGUCAUCAUGCCCCUUAUGUCCAGGGCUUCACGCAUGCUACAAUGGCUGGUACAGAGAGUGGCGAGCCUGUGAGGGUGAGCGAAUCUCGGAAAGCCGGUCUCAGUUCGGAUUGGGGUCUGCAACUCGACCUCAUGAAGUCGGAGUCGCUAGUAAUCGCAGAUCAGCAACGCUGCGGUGAAUACGUUCCCGGGGCU